rnacentral:lncRNA from 1 species
CUCAUCUUCUCACACCAGUAUUUCCCAGAAGGGGUGGUAUAGGAAAAGGGAAGUCGCUUUCUGUCAGGAAGUGGUAUGUUACAGGUACAAGUCCCAUCUGAUGGCCUCUGUGAAGUCAAAGGCCAAGUCACUGGCAGGAGGUCCUCAAGCCUUCAGGGGGCUAUUCGGUCGAUGGUUCACCUUGUCUCAUGACAAUAGGAAUGAAUCAUAUGGCUCCACUGUCCACCAACAGCACUCCUUUCUGAAAUGCUGUUACAAUAAAUCUUUCCGCCAAAGCCUCCCGAGCCCUACCACCACGUGGGCGGUCUCGCCAGCCGCCGGAGUUCUGCCCGCCGCCUGGAUGGACAAAAUAAUACAGAGACAUAUUAGAUAAGUUUAUCUCCUACCACUCAUCAAAGAAGAUUUUCUUUUCAAGUGACAGAGACUACCACAGUAAACCACAAUUGGUUAAAAUACAGUGAGCAAUUGAUUAUGUGGUGUCUGGCGCCAACAGAUACAUCUACAACAAAAUUCCAACACCUAACGUUCAGGAGACAUCAUGGAAAAGGGAGUGGAAAGAUUCUAAGAGUCAGAUAUUGUGUCUUCUAAAAAUGAUAG